rnacentral:tRNA from 1 species
GCCGUGGUGGUGAAAUUGGUAUACACGCAUGCUUCAGGUGCAUGUGGGAGUGAUUCCGUGCGAGUUCAAAUCUCGCUCACGGCA